rnacentral:rRNA from 1 species
GAACGUGCCCUUCGGUUCGGGACAACUCCGGGAAACUGGAGCUAAUACCGGAUAAGCCCUUCGGGGGAAAGAUUUAUUGCCAAAGGAUCGGCCCGCGUCUGAUUAGCUAGUUGGUGAGGUAAUGGCUCACCAAGGCGACGAUCAGUAGCUGGUCUGAGAGGAUGAUCAGCCACACUGGGACUGAGACACGGCCCAGACUCCUACGGGAGGCAGCAGUGGGGAAUAUUGGACAAUGGGCGCAAGCCUGAUCCAGCCAUGCCGCGUGAGUGAUGAAGGCCCUAGGGUUGUAAAGCUCUUUUGUCCGGGAAGAUAAUGACUGUACCGGAAGAAUAAGCCCCGGCUAACUUCGUGCCAGCAGCCGCGGUAAUACGAAGGGGGCUAGCGUUGCUCGGAAUCACUGGGCGUAAAGGGCGCGUAGGCGGAUCUUUAAGUCGGGGGUGAAAGCCCAGGGCUCAACCCUGGAAUUGCCUUCGAUACUGAAGAUCUCGAGACCGGAAGAGGUAAGUGGAACUGCGAGUGUAGAGGUGAAAUUCGUAGAUAUUCGCAAGAACACCAGUGGCGAAGGCGGCUUACUGGUCCGGUUCUGACGCUGAGGCGCG